rnacentral:rRNA from 1 species
AAACCAACUGGGAUUACCUUAGUAACGGCGAGUGAAGCGGUAAAAGCUCAAAUUUGAAAUCUGGUACUUUCAGUGCCCGAGUUGUAAUUUGUAGAAUUUGUCUUUGAUUAGGUCCUUGUCUAUGUUCCUUGGAACAGGACGUCAUAGAGGGUGAGAAUCCCGUUUGGCGAGGAUACCUUUUCUCUGUAAGACUUUUUCGAAGAGUCGAGUUGUUUGGGAAUGCAGCUCAAAGUGGGUGGUAAAUUCCAUCUAAAGCUAAAUAUUGGCGAGAGACCGAUAGCGAACAAGUACAGUGAUGGAAAGAUGAAAAGAACUUUGAAAAGAGAGUGAAAAAGUACGUGAAAUUGUUGAAAGGGAAGGGCAUUUGAUCAGACAUGGUGUUUUUGCAUGCACUCGCCUCUCGUGGGCUUGGGCCUCUCAAAAAUCUCACUGGGCCAACAUCAAUUCUGGCAGCAGGAUAAAUCAUUAAGAAUGUAGCUACUUCGGUAUGUUAUAGCUUUUUGGAAUACUGUUAGCC